UGUGAGUGCCACUGAAAAUCAGCUCCUGUGCCGCCUUCGGAACCCAUGCCAUAGGUUGCCUACCCCUGUUUUAUACCAUGCUGAUGCGGUCCCCUGGGGAAAUGACUGCAAAAAUCAGCACUGAGGCAGUUUCAAAAAGAUAUUAAAGGAAGAGACAACUCCUCAUCUGAAUCAUCAACAAACAAAACACAGGGCUAGCCGCCUGUAAUUCUGCCCCUCACUAACUGCGAAGCCGCAAAUGUUUCUACGCUUCCCCAUCAUCUCCGUCCCAGAGGCUAGCGCAGAUUAGAAGGCGAAAAAACGCACUCACAACGACAUGUUCUCAGAGCUCAUGCAGUCUUCCCACACUGAAAGAGCUCAGCAGAAUGCGUGGAGGCAAACAAUGGCAGAGUCCAGGAAAGCGUUA